UACAGAGGUCUCGAGCGUUGUUCGGAUUCAUUGGGCGUAAAGGGUGCGUAGGUGGUCAGGUAAGUCGGAUGUGAAAUCCCGGGGCUCAACCUCGGAACUGCAUUCGAUACUGCCUGACUGGAGUACUGGAGAGGAGAUUGGAAUUUACGGUGUAGCAGUGAAAUGCGUAGAUAUCGUAAGGAAGACCAGUGGCGAAGGCGGAUCUCUGGACAGUUACUGACACUGAGGCACGAAGGCCAGGGGAGCAAACGGG
rnacentral:rRNA from 1 species